GCGCUCGCGCCGCACGGCGCCACGCCACAGCACGGCGGCGCCCCCGGCCAAUCCCCGCCUCCAGAGCGGACUCGCGGCGGCGGCGCCGCUCGCCGGCACUUCCGGCGGGAGCGCGGGCCCAUCUUUACUGCGGGCAGCAGCGCCCGCCGCCAUCUUGUCGCGGCCUCGACGCGCCGUACUUUCUCUGAAGCAGAAGUCAGAGUUUUGGAUGUGAUCGCCCCCAACCAUUUGAUCUGUAGCCUUCUGGGGAGGUGCUCUUUGGAAAGCACACCCUCCUCUGCUGAUCUCGACAGACACGCAGGCAGGGCUGAUGGCUGCGGAGCUCCCCCGGCAGUGUGGGGAGCCUGCACUGGAAACAAGCCAUGGCACAUAAAAAUAAACCAUCCCCACCAGUAUCAGCAAUAGCUCCUGUCUGUACCAUCGGGAGCAGGACAGCAACGCACUGCAGAAAGCUGCCACGCUCGCGUGUUCUGUCUCCCACUGCUGGGUUGAUCCGUUGGGGUAUGUUCUGCGUCCCUGCACAGUGAAAAAGUGAAGCA